CCUACGGGCGGCAGCAGUAGGGAAUAUUUCUCAAUGGGGGAAACCCUGAAGCAGCAACGCCGCGUGGAGGAUGAAGGUUUUCGGAUUGUAAAACCCUUUUGUUAGAGAAGAAAAUGACGGUAUCUAACGAAUAAGGACCGGCCAACUCCGUUCCAGCAGCCGCGGUAAUACGGAGGGUGCCAGCGUUACUCGGAAUCACUGGGCGUAAAGAGCGCGUAGGCGGGAUAGCAAGUCAGAUGUGAAAUCCUAUGGCUUAACCGUAGAAUUGCAUUUGAAACUGUUAUUCUAGAGUAUGGGAGAGGUAGGUGGAAUUCUUGGUGUAGGGGUGAAAUGCGUAGAGAUCAAGAGGAAUACUCAUUGCGAAGGCGACUUACUAGACCGUAACUGACGCUGAUGCGCGAAAGCGUGGGGAGCAAACAGGAUUAGAUACCCUUGUAGUC
rnacentral:rRNA from 1 species